rnacentral:rRNA from 1 species
CCUACGGGAGGCAGCAGUGAGGAAUAUUGGUCAAUGGUCGGGAGACUGAACCAGCCAAGCCGCGUGAGGGAUGAAGGUACAGAGUAUCGUAAACCUAUUUUGUCAGGGAACAAAGGCGGGGACGUGUCCCCGGAUGAGUGUACCUGAAGAAAAAGCAUCGGCUAACUCUGUGCCAGCAGCCGCGGUAAUACGGAGGAUGCGAGCGUUAUCCGGAUUUAUUGGGUUUAAAGGGUGCGCAGGCGGUCUGUUAAGUCAGCGGUAAAAGCCCGGGGCUCAACCCCGGCCCGCCGUUGAAACUGGCAGUCUCGAGUUGGAGAGAAGUAUGCGGAAUGCGCGGUGUAGCGGUGAAAUGCAUAGAUAGCGCGCAGAACUCCGAUUGCGAAGGCAGCAUGCCGGCUCCACACUGACGCUGAGGCACGAAAGCGUGGGUAUCGAACAGGAUUAGAUACCCUGGUAGUC